rnacentral:rRNA from 1 species
UACGGAGGGUGCAAGCGUUGUUCGGAAUUAUUGGGCGUAAAGCGCGCGCAGGCGGUCGAAAAAGUCUAUGGGUCAAAGGCCGGGGCUCAACCCCGAGUACGCCCAGGAUACUGUUCGACUGGAGACACGUAGAGGCAAGCGGAAUUUCGGGUGUAGCGGUGGAAUGCGUAGAUAUCCGAAAGAACACCGGAGGCGAAGGCGGCUUGCUGGGCGUGAUCUGACGCUGAGGCGCGAAAGCGUGGGGAGCGAACAGG